rnacentral:rRNA from 1 species
CCUACGGGAGGCAGCAGUGGGGAAUUUUGGACAAUGGGCGCAAGCCUGAUCCAGCAAUGCCGCGUGAGUGAAGAAGGCCUUCGGGUUGUAAAGCUCUUUUGUCAGGGAAGAAACGGUGGAGGUUAAUACCUUCUGCUAAUGACGGUACCUGAAGAAUAAGCACCGGCUAACUACGUGCCAGCAGCCGCGGUAAUACGUAGGGUGCAAGCGUUAAUCGGAAUUACUGGGCGUAAAGCGUGCGCAGGCGGUUGUGCAAGACAGAUGUGAAAUCCCCGGGCUCAACCUGGGAAUUGCAUUUGUGACUGUACGGCUAGAGUGUGUCAGAGGGGGGUAGAAUUCCACGUGUAGCAGUGAAAUGCGUAGAGAUGUGGAGGAAUACCGAUGGCGAAGGCAGCCCCCUGGGAUAACACUGACGCUCAUGCACGAAAGCGUGGGGAGCAAACAGGAUUAGAUACCCUGGUAGUCCACGCCCUAAACGAUGUCUACUAGUUGUCGGGUCUUUAUUGACUUGGUAACGCAGCUAACGCGUGAAGUAGACCGCCUGGGGAGUACGGUCGCAAGAUUAAAACUCAAAUGAAUUGACGG